rnacentral:rRNA from 1 species
CAGUCGCCGCGGGAAUACGUAGGGUGCGAGCGUUGUCCGGAAUUACUGGGCGUAAAGAGCUCGUAGGCGGUUUGUCACGUCGUCUGUGAAAUCCUAGGGCUUAACCCUGGACGUGCAGGCGAUACGGGCUGACUUGAGUACUACAGGGGAGACUGGAAUUUCUGGUGUAGCGGUGGAAUGCACAGAUAUCAGGAAGAACACCGAUGGCGAAGGCAGGUCUCUGGGUAGUAACUGACGCUGAGGAGCGAAAGCAUGGGUAGCGAACAGGAUUAGAUACCCCCGUAGUCCCUGUCUCUUAUAA